UAUAUUAAUAGACCUAAGAAGAAAUAUUGUUCUGCACGAACGCUUAGCGAGUCUAUAAUUUUCUCGUUUUAAAGCGAUUGUCACUGUUUGUUCCAAUUGAAUGGGUUGACGUUCCCAAUGUGAUUUAUUAUUUGAAACUGUCGAUAUAAAAUCCACUAUCCCCGUACAUACAUCGGAUACUAUAUACUGGAUGUUGUGCGAAACCGUUAUGCAACCUGCAGUACGUAAGCUGACGGUCUUUGCUCGCCUGGAUUCCAGUUGGCCUGUCCUCUUAUAUUGUGUCCUGCGUAUAAGUAAGAACAUUCAGGACAACAGGAUGAAGAAGUACGAUGUGUGCAUAGAUUGAAGAUUCUAAAAUCAAUGAUGACGUUCAUAACUCGUGCCGAGGAAAAGAAAGGAAGAUGUUCUUCCAUUGAUUUUAUGAGAGAGAUUCGAUCUCGCUGAGGUAGUAAUAAUAAGUAAGUAAGGUGAAGAGUCGUCGUCAAGUAAUACACAACAACCAAGGUGAUCCAGUGCGAAAGCGAGAGGCCUUUCUGAGGGACUCCCAGAAGAAAGGAAAGAUUGACGGAAGGAAGACAGAGUCUGAAGAGCAAGAAGAAGAAGAAGAAGAUAAAAACAGGAAUGAAAGUAGAAAAGAAAAGAAAAAUACUUAUGAAACCUUCGAAGAGACAAUGAACUAGUAAUAAAAGUUAAAAGGGAUGACGGGGACCUGCAUUAUCGACUAUCAAAUAUAUAUACAUAUACAAAAGUAAUAAUAUCUUUCUUCAUGAAUUGAAAUAACGAAUGGUCGAACAAAAGUCAGGAUGACCGGUCCUAAUAAUAACAUUUCAUACGAAGAAAGUCAAGAUAAUCAUCGAGUAUCAAAUGAAAUUAUAUGUCUGACAAUGUUCCCUGAUUCCUGUCACGUGAUUGAAAUCAUUUCUUCUUUAACAUAAUAAUUAUUUUCUCUCAGAGAUUUUUUUCAGUUAAAUCAAAGCUUCGGUGGUCAGUAUUCCCUUAAACAAAGUGUGCGCUUUAAUCUUAUCUAAAACUUGUCAUAAGCACAGUGGUAGUAUAACGAAGAUUAAUUGGAUUUAAAGAUGAUUAUCGUGACACUACCGAAAUCUCAGUUAAUUUUCUCUGGGAGGGAGAUUUUGUAUGUCUUUCUGUACGAUCUGACACGCUUUGUUCACUGUAAAUACAUGCAUACACAUACAGUAUAUACGUGUGUUUCUUUCUUUCUCUUUUUGUGUUAUUAUUCAUGGGUAUACGUGAGUGCAACAAAGAAGGAGACAGUGAAUAUGACAAAGCAAAAAGGGAAGCAAAAGAGAAAGAGGAAGAGAGGAAAAGAGAAAAUGAGAGAGAAGAGACAAGCUAAAGAGGGAUCAUGGUGGUCGAUGACGCCGGCAACGUCAGAAGAUGUCGGCAUCGUUGUUGUUGGUUCCCGGCUCGUGGGAGCGCCGCUUUAACCGCCUAUUUCUCCCGCCACGUUAUAACGCUGCAUGAAGCCGUCUCGCCGUCUCGCGUAA